rnacentral:ncRNA from 2 species
AACGCACCUUGCGCUCCUUGGUAUUCCGAGGAGCAUGCCUGUUUGAGUGUCAUGAAACUCUCAACCUUCAACUUUUUUAUUAAGGCUGAAGGCUUGGACUUGAGCGCUGCUGGUUUUUACUAACCGGCUCGCUUGAAAUGAAUUAGCAGAUCCUUUUUGUAAUCGGUUCCACUCGACGUGAUAAGUAUUUCGCCGAGGACAUACGAAAGUAUGGCCGAGAUAAGGAAAGUCUUUAGAUCCGCUUCUAAUUCUUAGAUCAAGCUUGCUUGACUAAACCCCAUUUUAUGAUCUGGCCUCAAAUCAGGUAGGACUACCCGCUGAACUUAA